GGGGCCGUCAUGGUUUUGACGGAGGAGAAUCGACUAACGGUUGCAGUGGUCUGGUAAACCUUAAUACCAAACAAAAAUAACUGACAACACUGUCAAACCUUGGAUGGUCGGUAACAACCGCGCCGUCCUCGCUCGCGCCUAAUUAGAGCACCCCUAGAUGGGUUCCCGCCAUUGCGGGACGAGCACGCUCCCCACGCUUCCUCACCUUGGGCGUGGACGAGUGUCAUAUAAGGGUGAUGGUCAGCUGAUUUGGCUUAACCCAGUUGGCGAGAAAUUCUAGCCUCGUCUAGUGGCUUCGACGACAUGGUCGCCACUAGAUUAAAUCCUAAUGACGUCUAAACUGUAGGCGCCGCUAGGGGAACUCCUUCGGACCCGGGUUCGACUCCCGGCGACUCCACCA
rnacentral:tmRNA from 1 species